CCCACGCCCAAAUCUCCGAGGCCUCCUAACCUCCUGCUGCCUCCGUUCCUUGUGCUGUUCCAGGCCCCGGAUCUUCUGCAGGAGGCGGCCCCUCUCCUGCCGCAGCCUCACGAUCUCCUCAUAGGCAUCUCGAUCAUCCUGUUCCCCUCCCCACCACGGCCUUUAGAUGGGGCCUAAGGUUGCCCCAUCCCAGGUCUCAGCCAGAGCCCCUCCCCGUGCCUGGGGGCUCCCCAUGCCUCCUCCCGUGCCCAGAGCAUCUCUCACCGGCAUGGGAAUGCUGGCGGGAGGUGGAGGCGCCUUCCGCUUCUUGGGGGCCCCCUGCUUUCCAUGGCUGGACAUAGAGUUCUGGGAAGGGAGGGGAGAGAGAGUGAAGGGGGCCGAUCGGGGGGCCAUGCCAGCCUCCCCCACAGUAAACCAACCCAGCCAGCCCCAGCCAUGGCCUGACUUCCUGAGAACAUGGAACCAGCAGCCCCUGCCUCCUGCCGCUUACUUAUCCCAGCAAAGCGCAGACAAGACCAACUCCCUGCUCUGCUCCGGUGCCACCUCCUCCAGGCAGACUCCCUGAUUUCUCCAGGCCACACCAGAUGGGGAUGUUGUAUCCCAUGAUACGAAAACUAAAGGCUCCAAGUCAAGCUUGCCCACCCAGGCCAGGCACAAAGAGGUGCUCAGGAAGGCUGAUUGCCUGUCCCUGGAGGUGAGCCCUCCCUUUCAUCCUCCCCAUCUGUGCCCUGAAUUGGCCGCCACAGGGACUUGAGGGGGCUGAGAAGAAUGGGGACAAUGGAGGAAGAAGCAUGUCUUUCUAGGAGUUCAUAGCCAAAGACACGGAUGCAAGAGAAGACAGCUGGAUCUACCUCAGGGCCUUUGCACUGGCUGUUCCAGCCACUUGGAAUGCAAUUCCUGCAAACUCUCUCCCCCACUCCCCUUCCCUUUUUCUUUUUUUUUUCUUUUUUGAGAUGGAGUCUCACUCUGUUGCCCAGGCUGCAGUGCAAUGGCACAAUCUCAGCUCACUGCAACCUCCACCUCCCAGGUUCAAGCAAUUCUCCUGCCUCAGCCUCCCAAGUAGCUGGGAUUACAGGUGCCCGCCACCGUGCCCAGCUAAUUUUUGUAUUUUUAGUAGAGACAACGUUUCACCAUGUUGGCCAGGCUCGUCUUGAACUCCUGACCUCACGUGAUCUGCCUGCCUUGGCCUCCCAAAAUGCUGGGAUUACAGGUGUGAGCCACCACGCCCAGCCCUCCCCUUCCCUUUCUAAUCUUUGCUUUAAUACCACCUCCUCUGGGAAGCCUUCCCUGGCCACCCUCUUUAAAACUGCAGCCACCUCCCCUGCCCUGAAUGCUUCAAUUCCCUUUUCCUGCUUUGUCUGUCUUUGCGACACAAAAUACACAUUGUCACUUA
rnacentral:lncRNA from 1 species